GAUGAACGCUGGCGGCGUGCUUAACACAUGCAAGUCGAACGGGAAACAUUUUAUUGAAGCUUCGGCGGAUUUAGCUUGUUUCUAGUGGCGGACGGGUGAGUAACGCGUGGGUAACCUGCCUUAUACCGGGGGAUAACAGCCAGAAAUGGCUGCUAAUACCGCAGAAGCGCACGGAGCCGCAUGGCUCUGUGGGAAAAACCCCGGUGGUAUAAGAUGGACCCGCGUUGGAUUAGCUAGUUGGCAGGGCAGCGGCCUACCAAGGCGACGAUCCAUAGCCGGCCUGAGAGGGUGAACGGCCACAUUGGGACUGAGACACGGCCCAGACUCCUACGGGAGGCAGCAGUGGGGAAUAUUGCACAAUGGGGGAAACCCUGAUGCAGCGACGCCGCGUGAAGGAAGAAGUAUCUCGGUAUGUAAACUUCUAUCAGCAGGGAAGAUAAUGACGGUACCUGACUAAGAAGCCCCGGCUAACUACGUGCCAGCAGCCGCGGUAA
rnacentral:rRNA from 1 species